UAAGUGGAGAGUUUGAUCCUGGCUCAGAAUGAACGCUGGCGGCGUGCUUAACACAUGCAAGUCGAACGAGGCCGAGGGGGCAACUCCUCGGUUGAGUGGCGGACGGGUGAGUAACACGUGGGUAACCUGCCCGGAAGUGGGGAAUACCUCGGGGAAACUCGAGCUAAUACCGCAUAACAUCUUCGGGACGAAAGUCCUGACGAUCAAAGCGGGGUCGCAAGAUCUCGCGCUACCGGAUGGGCCCGCGCCCGAUUAGCUAGUUGGUGAGGUAACGGCUCACCAAGGCUUCGAUCGGUAACCGGCCUGAGAGGGCGAUCGGUCACACCGGAACUGAGACACGGUCCGGACUCCUACGGGAGGCAGCAGUGGGGAAUCUUGCGCAAUGGGCGAAAGCCUGACGCAGCAACGCCGCGUGGAGGAU
rnacentral:rRNA from 1 species